CGCCUGGGGAGUACGGGUGAGGUAACGGCUCACCAAGGCAUCGACGGGUAGCUGGUCUGAGAGGAUGAUCAGCCACACUGGGACUGAGACACGGCCCAGACUCCUACGGGAGGCAGCAGUGGGGAAUAUUGCACAAUGGGCGAAAGCCUGAUGCAGCAACGCCGCGUGCGGGAUGAAGGCCCUAGGGUUGUAGACCGCUUUCAGCAGGGAAGAAAAUGACGGUACCUGUAGAAGAAGGUGCGGCCAACUACGUGCCAGCAGCCGCGGUGACACGUAGGCACCAAGCGUUGUCCGGAUUUAUUGGGCGUAAAGAGCUCGUAGGCGGUUCAGUAAGUCGGGUGUGAAAACUCUGGGCUCAACCCAGAGACGCCACCCGAUACUGCUGUGACUAGAGUGCGGUAGGGGAGCGGGGAAUUCCUAGUGUAGCGGUGAAAUGCGCAGAUAUUAGGAGGAACACCAGUGGCGAAGGCGCCGCUCUGGGCCGUAACUGACGCUGAGGAGCGAAAGCGUGGGUAGCAAACAGGAUUAGAUACCCUGGUAGUCCACGCCGUAAACGUUGGGCACUAGGUGUGGGUCUCAACCAACGAGAUCCGCGCCGUCGCUAACGCAUUAAGUGCCCCGCCUGGGGAGUACGG
rnacentral:rRNA from 1 species